UGACUGACUGAGUGCCAGCAGCCGCGGUAAUACGUAGGUGGCAAGCGUUGUCCGGAAUUAUUGGGCGUAAAGCGCGCGCAGGCGGUUCCUUAAGUCUGAUGUGAAAGCCCCCGGCUCAACCGGGGAGGGUCAUUGGAAACUGGGGAACUUGAGUGCAGAAGAGGAGAGCGGAAUUCCACGUGUAGCGGUGAAAUGCGUAGAGAUGUGGAGGAACACCAGUGGCGAAGGCGGCUCUCUGGUCUGUAACUGACGCUGAGGCGCGAAAGCGUGGGGAGCGAACAGGAUUAGAUACCCUGGUAGUCCACGCCGUAAACGAUGAGUGCUAAGUGUUAGAGGGUUUCCGCCCUUUAGUGCUGCAGCAAACGCAUUAAGCACUCCGCCUGGGGAGUACGGCCGCAAGGCUGAAACUCAAAGGAAUUGACGGGGGCCCGCACAAGCGGUGGAGCAUGUGGUUUAAUUCGAAGCAACGCGAAGAACCUUACCAGGUCUUGACAUCCUCUGACAACCCUAGAGAUAGGGCGUUCCCCUUCGGGGGACAGAGUGACAGGUGGUGCAUGGUUGUCGUCAGCUCGUGUCGUGAGAUGUUGGGUUAAGUCCCGCAACGAGCGCAACCCUUGAUCUUAGUUGCCAGCAUUAAGUUGGGCACUCUAAGGUGACUGCCGGUGACAAACCGGAGGAAGGUGGGGAUGACGUCAAAUCAUCAUGCCCCUUAUGACCUGGGCUACACACGUGCUACAAUGGAUGGAACAAAGGGCAGCGAAGCCGCGAGGUGAAGCCAAUCCCAUAAAACCAUUCUCAGUUCGGAUUGCAGGCUGCAACUCGCCUGCAUGAAGCCGGAAUCGCUAGUAAUCGCGGAUCAGCAUGCCGCGGUGAAUACGUUCCCGGGCCUUGUACACACCGCCCGUCACACCACGAGAGUUUGUAACACCCGAAGUCGGUGGGGUAACCUUUUGGAGCCAGCCGCCUAAGGUGGGACAGAUGAUUGGGGUGAAGUCGUAACAAGGUAACCUCAGUCAGUCA
rnacentral:rRNA from 2 species